rnacentral:lncRNA from 1 species
CGCCUCCCCUCCUUUCCCUUCUCCUUUCUCUUUCCUUCUCUCUUUUGAUUAAUUACCUACUAAAUGCCAGGUGAAAUGUAACCAGUGGUUACCCUAUUGUAAAUUGCAGACACCUUUGGACAAAUACAGCCUAUGAUUCUUCAAUAAGGAAAUGCAUUGAAAUGGGUGUUAAGAAGCAAGAUUCGUUUUGGGUUCUCCCCAGAUGAUCUUGGAGAAAGUCUGCUGCUGUGAAGGCUCAGCAGGGGCGGGAGAAUCCAAGAAGGAAGAAUUUAGCGUUGGUGCUCCCGCCACAUGGUCACACACCCUGCUACUGCUUUCUGCGUGGACUGCUGAGAUUCAAGGCAGCUGGAACCUGCUUGGUUCUCUUGACCCUUUGCAUCCUGGUGGGCUCUGAUGACGGAAAACGCUGCCUGCCUGCCUCUUCUCCUGGACUGACUCCCUAACGUCCUAAUGUCUGAGGGACAAAUCCUCGCGAUCUCUCGCCAAGGGAGCCCUCAGCCAGGACCCUGAAGGCCCACUGGUUGGCAAAGACAAAGCGAUACAUACCUGGUGUCUGAACAGCGAAGCUGUUUUCAAAGACCAGCUGAAUUGUAGCUCAGAAGAAAAAAAUGGAAAAGACAAGUAAACAUCCAGAAAUCUGGAAAGAAGAAAGAAAAUCUCAUGAAUGUAACUCUGACCUCAGCUGACUCAAAUAAAGGUGUUCAUUACCGAACGAUUAGAACCACCUACACAGGACAAAGUGAAUUUCUGAUCAACAGGUAGUAAUAGCAAACCCCCCUGAAAAGCUAAGAAGCAUUAGAGUGGAUUAUCCAUGAAGAGAGGAUUAGAAAAAGAGAGACUUGGAAUCCAGCAAACGAAACCCCAGCGGGCCAGCUGGCUAAUGUUUGGGAUAAUAAUUCCAAACGUAUUAAAAUAAAUUGUAAAAGAGAAAAGGCCGAAGGCAAUAAAAGCAAGCUUCACACGAUACUGUAUAUUGUGGAUAAAAUCAUGCACAUUCGCAAUAAUCACUUCCCCAGAGGCAAGCAAUACAGGCACCACCAGCAGAGCUGGGGAGAAUUUCAAGACACAAAGCCCGCUGUAUGCCAACAAGAGUUGCUGCAAGUGGGAGGACUUACAACAGAGUCUGCCUAAUAGCCACCGUUCUGGUCCGUUUUUUCCCUGUGGCCUGAGCACUGUCUCAUGCACGAUGUUGAAAUGGGAACGCAAUAGCAGGGUAGGCAACUUCACUCCUCCGCAGUCUUAAAUGCGGUAUUGCUCAAGGAUCUUAUUCCCCUAAGCAGGGAGAGAAAUGCCUUUUCUUUUUUCUCACUUAUGGAGUUUCUCCAGCGACACAGAUCAGCUCUUGUUGGUCUUGUUCACCUCAGCGAGUAGAAUUAAGAAGCUGACAGGAGCGUCGAGCCAUCCAUUUUUGUUUUUACCAUAUCCAGAGCCUGCCACCAUUUUUUAUCUCGAGUAUCUGCUAUUUUCUGGCCCGUUUGAGGUGGCCUUGUUACUUCUAGGAAAUCUGUAAAUGCUAUUUAUUGAAAUGCUCCCCAUAAUUUUUCCAUUUUUAGUUUAGGCCAAUGAAAUAUAACAACUGGCUUAAGCUAGGGGAAAAUCGUAGGGCUAAAUGUUUCUGUAAUUAUAGGCUCCUUCUUAAAUGUUUUUUUGUGAAGUCUGAAAUUCCUUUAUCCUUAAUUUUUGAGUAACUGAUGGAGUCCUUACUGAGGACUUCCCUUCCUGCGUUGAUUUGAGAGUGUGUGAUGAGUCCUCGGUUCAAGUUAGUACCGUUCAUCCAUCCAUUCCAUCUAAUUAUUAAGUACCUAACCCGCAGUGGGCACUGUUCAAGGUGAAAUGAGUACCAGAUGCAUAAAACAUGGUUCUAGUCUUCCAGCUUUUAUGGUUUAUCAGGGAAACAGACAUGCGAUGAGUAGUCAGAGCAAUGGUUUAAGAAAAAGAAUACAGGCUUUCAGAGAGUUCUACAGGAAAUCCAAAGAGAAAGCUCCUGAUUCUUUUUAACGAGGACUCAAAGAAAUCUCUGGAGACGAUUUGAACAUGAAUUAACCUCAAAGAAAGAGUAAGAAGCUAGAGGUCAAAGCUAUGCGGGGAAAGGACAUGCCAGGGAAAGAAGGAGAAGAAACGCAUGUGUAAGAGCUGGGAGGUAAAAAAGAGCAUGGCUUGUUUAGGGAGCUGCAAGAACUUUUGUGGCUGGAUCACUACGGGGGGGGGGGGGGGGGGAGGGUGGGGUUGGAGUUUUUGAGACUGGGGGAGGGAGUGGAAUGGGGGAAGUUGCAGCAGACGACAGAAGGGAGGGAGUCUGGGGCUAGGUCUUCCCCACUAUUACGUCUCAUGAGAGAAUUUAGCCAAAGCAGUCUGCUGGGCACCGAAUGUUGCGCCAAUCAUAUUCUGCCUUGCAGCUAGUUACAUCUUGCUAGAUAUUCCAGCAUCCCCUUUUUUGGAUAGCUAUUCAUCUGGUUGGUCUUGAUUCACGUUGAUAUAAGAGAAUGUCAUGAGGGCUUUAAGAAACUUUCUUUUUGUAGAUUUCUCAAGGAAUCAGACCAAGGUUAAAUCUGUUUUUCUAUAACCUGGCGUGGCCUUGUACAAUCUUCCAAGCGAAAUGCUGCAAAUCUGUCAAACAGGGUUUAAAAUGGAAAACUGGGGCUCUGGAUCCACCAAAUCAAUUCAAAGCUGAAUGGUCCUUCCGCAAGUUUACGAGCUUGUGCUGUCCAUGUGAAACUACGCAAGAGACACGUGUACCUUUGUAAGAAUUAGGAAAAGGAAGAUUACCCCUAAGCUAACAUCUGCCACCAAUCCUCCUCUUUUUGCUAAGGAAGACUGGCCCUGAGCUAACAUCCAUGCCCAUCUUCCUCUACUUUAUUUGUGGGACACCUGCCACAGCAUGGCUUGACA